AGCGAACGCUGGCGGCAGGCUUAACACAUGCAAGUCGAACGGGCAUCUUCGGAUGUCAGUGGCAGACGGGUGAGUAACACGUGGGAACGUACCCUUCGGUUCGGAAUAACUCAGGGAAACUUGAGCUAAUACCGGAUACGCCCUUUUGGGGAAAGGUUUACUGCCGAAGGAUCGGCCCGCGUCUGAUUAGCUUGUUGGUGGGGUAACGGCCUACCAAGGCGACGAUCAGUAGCUGGUCUGAGAGGAUGAUCAGCCACACUGGGACUGAGACACGGCCCAGACUCCUACGGGAGGCAGCAGUGGGGAAUAUUGGACAAUGGGCGCAAGACUGAGCCAGCCAUGCCGCGUGAGUGAUGAAGGCCUUAGGGUUGUAAAGCUCUUUUGUCCGGGACGAUAAUGACGGUACCGGAAGAAUAAGCCCCGGCUAACUUCGUG
rnacentral:rRNA from 1 species